CCAGACUCCUACGGGAGGCAGCAGUGGGGAAUAUUGCACAAUGGGGGAAACCCUGAUGCAGCGACGCCGCGUGAGUGAAGAAGUAAUUCGUUAUGUAAAGCUCUAUCAGCAGGGAAGAAAAUGACGGUACCUGAGUAAGAAGCCCCGGCUAACUACGUGCCAGCAGCCGCGGUAAUACGUAGGGGGCAAGCGUUAUCCGGAUUUACUGGGUGUAAAGGGAGCGUAGACGGCAGUGCAAGUCUGGAGUGAAAGGCGGGGGCUCAACCCCCGGACUGCUCUGGAAACUGUACGGCUGGAGUGCAGGAGAGGUAAGUGGAAUUCCUAGUGUAGCGGUGAAAUGCGUAGAUAUUAGGAGGAACACCAGUGGCGAAGGCGGCUUACUGGACUGUAACUGACGUUGAGGCUCGAAAGCGUGGGGAGCAAACAGGAUUAGAUACCCCAGUA
rnacentral:rRNA from 1 species